CCAAGCCUGGAAUGCAGGAAUCUCUGCUCCUGAUUGUCCAAACGCAAUUCUUGUGCAAUGGAAUCAUACAAACCAAGAAUUGUGUCUGGACAUCUGUGGCAGAGAUUUCACCUUCAUCGUUUUGGUU
rnacentral:precursor_RNA from 15 species